UACGAAGGGGGCUAGCGUUGUUCGGAAUUACUGGGCGUAAAGCGCGCGCAGGCGGUCUUCCAAGUCAGUGGUGAAAGCCCGGAGCUCAACUCCGGAACUGCCAUUGAAACUGUGAGACUUGAGUAUGAGAGAGGUGAGUGGAAUUCCCAGUGUAGAGGUGAAAUUCGUAGAUAUUGGGAAGAACACCGGUGGCGAAGGCGGCUCACUGGACUCAUUACUGACGCUCAGGCGCGACAGCGUGGGGAUCAAACAGGAUUAGAUACCCCCGAGUAAGUCCGAG
rnacentral:rRNA from 1 species